GGUUCCGUGGUGUAGUGGUUAGCACUCAGGACUCUGGAUCCUGCAACCCGAGUUGAAAUCUCGGUGGAACCU
rnacentral:tRNA from 1 species